CUCACGCGAUUCAUGAGUGUUGCUCUCUUUUUCUUUUUCCAGGUCUCAUCCACGCACACACACACACACACAGACACGGAGGCGUGCCAUCUGCUGGACGCGGUGGGACGCUCGACACUUCACACAUCGUAAUCACGGUGCUUGAAUCAGCGAUCGAGGAAACGCACAAGCACACGCACACGCACACACACAUACACACUGAAACGUCCGAUUAUGUGACACCCUUCUUUCUAAAUGUGCAUGCGCGUGUGUACUAGGAUUACAUCAUCAUUUUUUCUUUGUAUUUUCCGUUCUCGGUCACUGCAGACAUAACGGCACCCUUGUGGAUGCUUGUCCGCUGGGACAGCCGCUGGCACCCCGUUCCUCACCCCUACAAUCAUGCCCCCCCCCCCCCCACCUGCCCUCCACCAUUGCCACCCGAACCGCUCCUCUUUCCAGGCUUUCUUCAUGUGCUUGAUUUUAUGCUUCCGGGUGAAGCGCGCGUGCACGGACCCACCACACACAAGCACAUACACAUAUAUGUAUAUGUAUGUCUGUGUACAGCGUAGAUGACCCUCUUGCCGAAACACAUUUGUAUAUCUUCUCAUUCCGUUUGCUUCUGGUCUAUUUUGGGUUGCCUGUUGUGCUUGUAUUUCGGUUUGGUGGCGGCGGUGGCCGUUGUUUCGCAUCAUGAUGUCACUCUUCCUUUCUCCUCCUUCGUAUUUGUUGCCCCCCCCCCCCCCCCCCGGCGGGGGGCGCCUGCGUCUCACCGGGCUCUUGCGGCAAUGGACCCCGCGUUUUUGUUUCCUGUUUUCUGCUUUGUGGUUUGCUCUGCUCAGCUUGAGCAGUCGUAAGUGCGGAGGUAGAUAGCGGAGAAGGGGGUUUUAUAGUGGUGAUGGCAAGCCGAAGGAAGAAGGGGGGAUGCAGGCGUGCAGUGUGUGCACGUGCGCAUUGGGGUAGAUCACCCAACUCGUCAUUUAGACUGCGUUAGGCCUCGGGCUCUGUCUGUUUCUUCCUCUCUCGCUCGCCUUUGGUGUGCCCGACACACUCUUAACCGUGCGUGUGCAUACGCUUGCGUGACUGCUCUGCUGCGGCUGCAGCAGGCAAGGUGAAGAGGCUAAAGGGGCAGUGGGAGAGAGACUCAGCACUUCGACCCCCCCCCCCAAACACACACAGGAGGAUCAAGGGUGUGGAGAUGGGAAAGAUGAGUGUGACUAUAGUUUUUCUUGUUCAACGUGUCCACUCUCUUCCACAGAGCAUGAUUCGAACUCCACACAGCCCUGCCUGCCAAAGGCCCCAUCGCCUGGUGCAAGGCAGCCGUAGACACCCGCGCGUCGCCGCAAUGCGCCGACUCGGUCAUCUGAGCAGGACCUCUGCCUGGAACUCCACACACUGACCCACUCGGCAGGGGCCGCCUCAUAGCUGCUCCCACUGCACUGGCUGCCGCGUAGUGCAUCCAUCUGGUGGUGACGCAGGCUCUCCACCAGGAGGCAGUGAGAGGGCCGGGUGAGGGACAUUCGAAUUCCCUUGACGUUUUGCCUAUCAUAUGGAUGAUGCAGACGCGCUCACAGUCGCAGGUCGCUCCACAAUGCAACGCCAUACAGGACCUGACCGCCGGCAUCCGUAGCGAUGCAUCGCUCCAACAUCCCUCUAUGUCGUAGGCACCUGACCCUGCGACCGCGAGCAGUGGGCUCGGCAUUUAGCGGGGGUUAAGGGGCUGCUGGGAUGACCCGCACAGAGUGCUUGUGUGUGUGUGUGAAUGGUGCACUGGACGCUGAGAGAUAUCACGCACGUAUGUGUCUCCCGCCAUCAGGGGCUGGAAUUCGUCAACAGAAGCAAAAAGCGAUUGGAGGCAUUUUGUACAUAGAUGCCACUGAUGUGUUUGGUUGAGCGUGGCGUGGCCGUGUGGGUAGUGCAGCUGCGCUCGCGCAUGCUUUUUGUGUGUGGGGGAUCUGCUCACUCUUCGUCUUCCUUUGCUUUGUUUUGCCAAGUUUCACGUCGGUCGUGGUGUGUAUGUUACUCGAUGUGUGCACGUGUGCCUGCGUGUGUCUUCCUCGGUGUGUUUUCAGUUGUUUUAAUUGCAUUACUGACGGUUGCAGUUGGUGACGCCGGCGUGGGCAAUAAGAUC
rnacentral:misc_RNA from 1 species